AAAAAAAAAAAAAAACAAUUACCAAAUAAUAAAACAAAAAAACAAUCACCAAUUACACGAAUAGCUUUCCCGAUAGUGGACCUUCACACACGAAUAGCUUUCCCUUUCACCUGACCGGACCUGGCUUCUCCGAUCCUCUGCCCCUCCACACAUGAAUAGCUUUCCCUUUCACCUGACCGGACCUGGCUUCUCCGAUCACGAAUACCUUUCCCUUUCACCUGACCGAACCUGGCUUCUCCGAUUCUCUGCCCCUCCACACACGAAUAGCUUUCCCUUUCACCAUACCGGACCCUGGCUUCUCCGAUUCUCUGCCCCUCCACACACGAAUAGCUUUCCCUUUCACCUGACCGGACCUGGGUUCUCUGAUUCUCUGCCCCUCCACACACGAAUAGCUUUCCCUUUCACCAUACCGGACCCUGGCUUCUCCGAUUCUCUGCCAUUUCUUUUCCACGGCAAGACCCACGGCAAGACCUAACGAUCCUUUCACGAUACCGGACAUGCCUUCUCCGAUUAUCUGUCAUUUUUUUUCCACGGCAAGACCCACCGAUCCGACCCAACAGACCGAUCCUCUGCCUCUCCCUUUCCACGGCAACACCCAACAGCCCGAUACCGAUCCGACCCAACAGACCCAAAUCCAAUUCGCUCAAUUUCCACUCUUCCCCAGCCCAUCGCUCAAUGCAACCGACCCAGCCCGUCGAGACCGGCCCAAAGGUUUUUUUAUCAGAACCACAUGCACACAGAGAUAUAGUUUGGAAGGCACAAAGAGAGAGGCCGCAUACCCAUUACCCCAUAAUCGGUAAA